rnacentral:rRNA from 2 species
UACGGGGGGGGCAAGCGUUGUUCGGAAUUACUGGGCGUAAAGGGCGCGUAGGCGGCCUUCUAAGUCAGACGUGAAAUCCCCAGGCUUAACUUGGGAACUGCGUCUGAUACUGGGAGGCUUGAAUGCGGGAGAGGGAUGUGGAAUUCCAGGUGUAGCGGUGAAAUGCGUAGAUAUCUGGAGGAACACCGGUGGCGAAGGCGGCAUCCUGGACCGACAUUGACGCUGAGGCGCGAAAGCUAGGGGAGCAAACGGG